rnacentral:lncRNA from 1 species
CUCGUGGACUGUGGGGUGGAGACAGACGACUGCUCCCUUCCUCCUCACUGCCUGUGUCAGGAUCGCUGUUGUCCUGUAGCCGCUCCUCAGGGCUGCCCAGCUCCUGCCUCUCCCGGUCCUCACAGGGUCGGUGCGCAGAGCGAUUUGUCCCCGGCAGAUCCAGGCGGUCAUGGCCUCGGCCAGGCUGUGCACAGCGGCAGCACUGAGCAGUGUGCAGGCUGCGGAUUCUGCUUAGCUGGGACCUGUGCUCUCCCCACUGUGCUCCCCGGCAGCACCACCACCUGAUCUGGUCCGUGUGACACCCAGGUGACUUCCUGUCAACACUCAGCCCUGCACUCCUCCAAAUGUGCCUGUGUAUGUGGUACCGGGAUGGAGCCCAGGGCCUUGGCACUGAGCUGCCUUGCCAGCCCUUCUUAUCGCUCACUGCAAGGCAGGGGCUCCCUACGCCACCCAGCCUGGCCUUGAACCUGUGAUGCGCCCAGCGUGCUGAGAUCGCAGGAGUGAGCUCCCACGCCUGGCUGCCAAGGCUGCUGCCUGACUGACUUGGGCCCCAAUCCCACCAGCUCACUGUCCUUCAGGUCCUGUGGGCCCGUGCCUGCCUCAGCCAGUCCUCCACUCCAGGUUGCUCACCUGCGGGGGCGUGAAGCUCAGGUACAGGGCAUCGCCGGCUGGGAGCGGCUCAGCAUGGCCCAGGGCCAGGGCGGCGAGCUGCCUGCGUGCCUCUUCGGCCUCCCGCUCCAGCAGGGCCCGGGCAUGCUCGCUCUCUCGCAGGCGGGCCUCCAGGCUGCCGGCCUCCGUCGCCCGCUCCUCACCCAGCCGCCUGCAGCGCCGCAGCUCCUCCUGCAGCAGUGCGUGUUGUCGCUGCAGCAGCGCCAGCUCUGUGGCCUGCUUUUCAGGAGCUGCAGGGGCAGCUCCUGCCCUGCCAGCUUCCCCGUCCCGAGAGUUAGCUCGGGACAGCUUCUCCCGCCGCUCAGGGCCUUCAGGGAACCGGGCUUCCAUCAAAGUGUCCUGCUGGGCCACAGCCGCCUGGGGUGGAACAGGGCAAGGGAGCAUGAGAAGCCCAUUUCCUUCUCCCACCCUCAGUGCCCACGGCUGGCCAGUGCUCCUGGAGAGCGAAGGAAACAAGGACAAGCUGCUGGCCUGUGGGAGGCUAUGCCUGCCUACACAGGCAUCUGGGCCUCGUGUUCCCCUGCUGCAGCCCUGCCUGCUGACCUGCAGCCCGUGCAGCAAUCCGUAGAGGUUGACCAGCCGCUGUAACACCUCCUGAGGACAGAGAAGGGGGGACACCGAAGCUGAGCAGCUACAGGUGUGAGGACAGCAUGCGCAGAGCUGCUCACCCACACCUUGACACCCCCGGCCUGCAGCUGCUCAGAUGAGAACACACCACCCCCAUCUCUCAUGCCACCAAGCUCUACCUCACCUCUUGGGGAGACCUCAGCUGAUUUCCAUUCCGAUCCUGCAGAAAUGGGCAAGGACGGGGGUCAGCAGGCAGGACUGACCAACCUACUGUCUGCCCACCCUCCAGCUAAGUCCCAGAAGCUCUGGAGAACCCACCUUCUGACUGGAGUCCGAGUCAGCUCUACAGAGCUCGAUGGAGCCGUUGAAGGUUCUGGCCUCGCCGUCUGUUGGAAAGGGGAAAGGACGAGCUGACCCCACUCCGCUAACCCAGCCCAUGCCCCCUCUCUGGUCCCCUCCCCACACUCACUGGCAGUGACCCCAGGACUUGUGUUCCCACUGCUGUCCAGUUCCAAGGGCUGGGCUGGCUCCCGGGACGUCAAGAGCAGCUCCACGCCAGGCCCCACCAGCAGGUCUUUCAAGCCCUCCACUGAGGAAAAGAGAGGAAGUGAGGACAGGUGUGUGGAGCGUGCAACACGCACGGGCCAUGCAGGCGUCUGGGGAAGGGGGAUUCACUCGCCCACUGCACAGGAGACCAAGGUUAUUAAGGAUGCCCACGGGGGACAGGAAUGCAGUGAGAGGCCAAGCAAAGCCAAGGACUGCGCCCCUCCUGCCCUGGAUUCCCAGGUGUGGGCACAGGACAGGCACUGGGGCAUUGACAGACUGCGGGCCGGGUGUGUGUGUGUGUGUGCGCGCGUGCCCAGGCCUCGCCGUGUGUCUGUAAGCUGUGAUGCCUCCUGUGGGGACGCCCUCACCCUCACGGAUGGCAUCCUGCAGCAGCCGCUCGCCACGGGGGGACUCGAGGGACUCGGAGCGGAAAAGGCCCCUGGGCAGGGUGGGCAGGGGCACCCCACUGAUGCCAUCCUCCUCCGCCUGGAAGUGGGUCAUCUCUGCAAACAGCCCAACCUUCUCCUGCAGCAGCUCCACCAGCGCCCGGUCCUUCUGCUGCAGCUCCACUGUGGGAAGCAAGAGGUGAGCAGGGAGGGCAGAUGGGGCCGGCCAGGGCCAGGACUUCGUUUACAAAAGAGAAAAACUUUUUUUGCGGGGGGGGGGGGGAAUGUAAAAAAUAACAUUUACUUUCUAUUUUUUUUUGGU